UACAGAGGUCUCAAGCGUUGUUCGGAUUCAUUGGGCGUAAAGGGUGCGUAGGUGGCGCGCUAAGUCGGGUGUGAAAUUUCGGAGCUUAACUCCGAAACUGCAUUCGAUACUGGCGUGCUUGAGGACUGGAGAGGAGACUGGAAUUCAUGGUGUAGCAGUGAAAUGCGUAGAGAUCAUGAGGAAGACCAGUGGCGAAGGCGGGGUCUCUGGACAGUUCCUGACGCUGAGGCACGAAGGUCAGGGGAGCAAAACGGG
rnacentral:rRNA from 1 species